rnacentral:rRNA from 1 species
CCUACGGGUGGCAGCAGUGAGGAAUAUUGGUCAAUGGACGAGAGUCUGAACCAGCCAAGUAGCGUGAAGGAUGACUGCCCUAUGGGUUGUAAACUUCUUUUAUAAGGGAAUAAAACGAGGCACGUGUGCCUUUUUGCAUGUACUUUAUGAAUAAGGAUCGGCUAACUCCGUGCCAGCAGCCGCGGUAAUACGGAGGAUCCGAGCGUUAUCCGGAUUUAUUGGGUUUAAAGGGAGCGUAGACGGGUUGUUAAGUCAGUUGUGAAAGUUUGUGGCUCAACCGUAAAAUUGCAGUUGAUACUGGCAGUCUUGAGUACAGUAGAGGUAGGCGGAAUGCGUGGUGUAGCGGUGAAAUGCUUAGAUAUCACGAAGAACCCCGAUUGCGAAGGCAGCUUGCUGAACUGUAACUGACGCUGAUGCUCGAAAGUGUGGGUAUCAAACAGGAGUAGAUACCCGUGUAGUC